rnacentral:rRNA from 1 species
AGGACGAACGCUGGCGGCGUGCUUAACACAUGCAAGUCGAGGGCGGUAGCAAUACCGACCGGCGAACGGGUGCGUAACACGUGAGCAACCUGCCAAGGUGAGGGGGAUAGCCAGCCCAACGGCCGGGUAAUACCGCAUACGCUCUAUCCACGGCAUUGUGGACUGAGGAAACCUCCGGGGCACUUUGAGGGGCUCGCGGCCUAUCAGCUAGUUGGCGGGGUAAUGGCCCACAAGGCAUCGACGGGUAGCUGGUCUGAGAGGAUGGCCAGCCACAUUGGGACUGAGAAACGGCCCAGACUCCUACGGGAGGCAGCAGUGGGGAAUCUUGCGCAAGUGGACCGAAAGGCUGACGCAGCGACGCCGCGUGUGGGAGG